CCCGCCCUCUCUAGCAGGCGUCCUCAGUGCUCCAUAGUGGGCUACUUUGACCUGCAUGACCCCUCGCCAGAUGUAGUCUGUGUGGAUCUGGACACCAACACUAUCUACCUUUCUGAUGAAAAGAGACCCAGCUACUGGAAAGAAGUCCUGCAUGAGUCUGGUUAGCGCCCUGAGCAACUGGCACCACCAGCUGGCCACGGUUUGAGUACGUCAAACAAGACCGGAGAACUGGGCAGACUUCACCUGGUACAAGAAGAAGAAUCCAGCUGGAGAUGGAGAUCCAGGAGGCCUUCCUUCACUUCAUGGCCUCCAUCCUGCAGGGCUACCGCUCCUACCUCAAACCCCUCAGCCAGGCACCCUCCCAAAGACCACGGCCUGCAAGGUACAGGGACCCAGCAAGACUGAUGGUGCCUCGCUGCCAUCAGGAGAUGGAGCUAACCUGCCUCAGCAGCAGCAGCAGCAGCUGUAGCUUCAGCGUGGAAAGUCGUGCUGGGAUGC